rnacentral:rRNA from 1 species
GACGGAGGGGGCUAGCGUUGUUCGGAAUGACUGGGCGUAAAGGGCGCGUAGGCGGCUUAUCAAGUCAGGUGUGAAAGCCUUGGGCUUAACCCAAGAAUUGCGCUUGAUACUGAUAAGCUAGAGGAUGAUAGAGGAAAGCGGAAUUCCUAGUGUAGAGGUGAAAUUCGUAGAUAUUAGGAAGAACACCAGAGGCGAAGGCGGCUUUCUGGUCUGUAACUGACGCUGAGGCGCGAAAGCGUGGGGAGCAAACAGG